rnacentral:rRNA from 1 species
GACGAACGCUGGCGGCGUGCCUAAUACAUGCAAGUCGAGCGGAUGGAAGGAAGCUUGCUUCCUAAAGUCAGCGGCGGACGGGUGAGUAACACGUGGGCAACCUGCCCCUAAGAUCGGGAUAACUUCGGGAAACCGGAGCUAAUACCGGAUAUGAUUAUGUCUCACAUGAGACAUAAUGGAAAGACGGUUUCGGCUGUCACUUAGGGAUGGGCCCGCGGCGCAUUAGCUAGUUGGUGAGGUAACGGCUCAACAAGGCUGCGAGGCGUAGCCGACCCGAGAGGGUGAUCGGCCACACUGAGAGUGAGACACGGCCGAGACUCCUACGGGAGGCAGCAGUAGGGAAUCUUCCGCAAUGGACGAAAGUCUGACGGAGCAAAGCCGCGGGAGGGAAGAAGGUUUACGGAUCGUAAAACUCUGUUGUUAGGAAAGAACAAGUACAAGAGUAACUGCUAGUACCUUGACGGUACCUAACCAGAAAGCCACGGCUAACUACGUGCCAGCAGCCGCCGUAAAAC